rnacentral:piRNA from 1 species
UGAAAUGUUCUCCCCAUUUUAAAGUGA